UACGUAGGGGGCAAGCGUUGUCCGGAAUCAUUGGGCGUAAAGAGCGCGUAGGCGGUCCGGUAAGUCAGCUGUGAAAGUCAGGGGCUCAACCCUUGAAAGCCGGUUGAUACUGUCGGGCUAGAGUCCGGAAGAGGCGAGUGGAAUUCCCGGUGUAGCGGUGAAAUGCGCAGAUAUCAGGAGGAACACCGAUGGCGAAGGCAGCUCGCUGGGACGGUACUGACGCUGAGGCGCGAAGGCGUGGGGAGCGAACAGG
rnacentral:rRNA from 1 species